UGCUCUCUUCACUGGAGGAGGUUCGCAGCCUAGGUCAUGAUAGAUGCCCGUGCCUGGUCUAUAGACGUGCUCGCCAGAAUUGAGGCAACUUCACCCUCCUUUAUCCACCAGGAAAGGCAGGGGCGUGAGGGUGGAGUGGAGUCUGACAGAGAGAAAAUGAUUGACGGACAGUCGCCGCUUCCAAUCGGAGUGCCGUGCGCAGGCUGGCCAGCCUAUGGGACUCAGAUUCUAAGGCGAGAGGCGGGCCUUUCAGAUGUAGGAAGUAUUCGUGGGUGUCUGGGUAUUCAGGCAGGCGAAGGGCUUAGCGGCCUCUGGAAAAAGGCAAGCGCGAGCCGUGGACAUGCUCAUGGCGCAGAGGGGCCUUUCGGGAGUUGGGCCAUUUUCUGAUGACAGUAGUGCUGCUUUUAUCUGAGUGUGAUAAAUCCAUGGCUUUUCUUCAGCUAACUUGACAGAUGAGUGCACGG